rnacentral:misc_RNA from 1 species
GCCGUCAAUCCCUCGCCGGAGCUCCGCCGUUCCGAUCGGCUUUCGACGUCCUCGACGCCGACCGCGACGGCAAGAUCAGCAGUGAGGAUCUCCGCUCCUUCUACUCGGGGCUUCCUUCCUGUCCCAGCGAGGAGGACAUCAGCUCCAUGAUCUCAGCUGCUGAUGCCGACAGCGACGGCUUCGUCCAGUUCGGCGAGUUCGAGCUCGUCCUCGGCCGCUCGCCCGGCGGAGGUGGAGUGAUGGAGGAGGUGUUUUGGGUGAUGGAUCGGG